CGUUGUUGUAAGUAUUCUAUCUGUCUAUUUUUUUUUAUUUUUUUUUAAAU
rnacentral:ribozyme from 14 species